UCAAAAGAGGGUGAAUGGCAGGCCCUCAUGUCAUCAUGGCAAUACAUUGGGGUACAGAAUCAAUAAAUCAAUACAAAUUUAAACCACAAUAUAUAAUGAAUAAUUAUAAUAAAAUUGUGAGUCCAGACUUGUCUGAGCUUGUAUUGAUAAAAUUACCAAAUUUAAGUAAAAGGAUAAAGAGGGGAGAAAAAACAUUAAAAAAGUAGUUGUGUGUUUUUAAAUGCAUAGAGAUUCCCCCAUUUUAAAUCACCAUUGCAAUAUGAACAGCUUCCUGUGUCCAAAUGUUCUCACUGAUAAAUAACCAUUU
rnacentral:lncRNA from 1 species